GUAAGCCUACGGGCGCAGCAGUAGGGAAUCUUCCACAAUGGACGAAAGUCUGAUGGAGCAACGCCGCGUGAGUGAAGAAGGGUUUCGGCUCGUAAAGCUCUGUUGGUAGUGAAGAAAGAUAGAGGUAGUAACUGGCCUUUAUUUGACGGUAAUUACUUAGAAAGUCACGGCUAACUACGUGCCAGCAGCCGCGGUAAUACGUAGGCGGCAAGCGUUGUCCGGAUUUAUUGGGCGUAAAGGGAACGCAGGCGGUCUUUUAAGUCUGAU
rnacentral:rRNA from 1 species